rnacentral:rRNA from 1 species
UGGCUCAGGAUGAACGCUGGCGGUCUGCUUAACACAUGCAAGUCGAACGGGUACUUCGGUACUAGUGGCGGACGGGUGAGUAACGCGUGAGAAUCUAGCUUCAGGAUGGGGGACAACAGUGGGAAACUGCUGCUAAUACCCGAUGUGCCGGAAGGUGAAAGAUAUAUUGCCUGAAGAUGAGCUCGCGUCCGAUUAGCUAGUUGGUAGUGUAAGAGACUACCAAGGCGACGAUCGGUAGCUGGUCUGAGAGGAUGACCAGCCACACUGGGACUGAGACACGGCCCAGACUCCUACGGGAGGCAGCAGUGGGGAAUUUUCCGCAAUGGGCGAAAGCCUGACGGAGCAAGACCGCGUGAGGGAGGAAGGCUCUU